AACGUUAUAACCACCAGCAGGGGCCCGGGCAGCACAGCACAGCACAAACCCCUUUGCUUUCCCUAAGCCUCCUGCAGCCUCCCGAGUAGAACUGUAAAGAAAACAUCUUUAUUUCCCCCACCCCUUUCCCGCAGUCGGCGGGGCGGGAAGGGCGGCGGGAAGGGCUCGGCCGGAGCGGCGGCCGUUGGCCGCCAUGGGAAAGACGGCAGCUCCUCGCGCCUUGUAGGGUCCCACAGCUCUAGCCGGGGAGAAGCAGCGGCUGAGCCGCCGGGAGCAACGCUCGGGCAGCCGAGCCUGUCUGCCUGCCUGCCGGCCAGCCUCGCCGGGCAUCCGGCAACAGCCAACCGCUGGCCUGCGGCACGGCCUAUAUCCUUUCGCGGAAGGUUACCGCGCCCUAGCUCGGCGACAACCGACGGAAGCGGUGCUGAGAGAUCUGAAGCAGCACUUUGUCAGAGAGCGUCUGAUUGGCUAAAGGGAGUCUGCAAUGGUUAGCUGGGUGCCAGAGGUGCAAAAUGCGGCAGUACAAAUUUGCUUAUUCUGCCCUUCCACCGUCAGCGUGAGGAGCGUUUCUUGGACGGCUGCUCUGAGUGCCAGUUUGAGUGACGUUUGGAGGAGGAUAUGCAUGAUAAAGCCAUGAGCGGUCUCCUAAAUAUCCUGCUAAACCGCUGCAAGAUCUUUCAACACAAAGAGAUGCUUCUGCAAAACGAGGCCCGCAGUCCGAAGCGGCGCUGAGGCCCGUGAGGCCGGCCGGCCGCCCCCCGCACGGCUGGACGUGGCCAGGUGUCCUGAGCCUGGCCAAAGCGCUGCAGCCCCGCCGCGCAAGAGCUGCACCCACGCCGUAAACACCCCUGUGGGGUUUCUGUGUGGCUCCAGUUGAAAUAAGCAUAGAGAAAUCAGAAGCAAACAAGUAACAAAGCCUGCACCAGUAAGAGGCUUACAGGAGUGCUUUUGAAACUAUGGAAGUCUCAAACCAGCAAGAACUUGCUGGCACAUCUGUGAAGCUUGAUACAAUAACCGUCGAAACGUAGAAGUGGGUUACAGACACUCAUCAUAUUAUCAAAAUUCUUCAGUAUUUCUGUUAUUGGAGUGUUUUCAUUGCUCUUUUUCAAAAUCUCAUUCUUGAAGAGUGAGUCAGCAAGAAGUCUCUGAAUGUGUCAGGGAGCAGUACUUUAAAUAAGGUUUCACUGCUAAGCAGUUAUUAAAGAGCAUGUUUACAUAUGAAAAAAUCGCACAUUUGCAUAUGAACAUAACCAGCCCAAUUUCUUGACUCUAGUGGAAGUUUUCUUCCUAACCACAGUUUUCAGGAUAACAUUCCUGAUGUACUCUUGGAAGGUAAUUUGUUUCCUUUAUUCUGUUUGCUCACUAGGAAGUAGAACACCUUUUAUUUUAAAAUUAUUGUGAUUUCCUUUUCACAGCCUUAUUCAGUACAAACUGCUUUCUUGCUGGCAUGAACACUUCUUACUGUCUUUUUUUCCAAAGAAUUCAUUCAAAAUUUAAAAAUAAUCUAGCCACUUUUCCUUGUAGUCUUAGCCACGUGGAACAAGUGCAAUGAAACCUUUAUGGGAAAAUUAUAUGCCUGUGUAAUUAUAAUUAUAAUGUUUAGGAGUGAAGGUUUGCUGAAGUGAAACAUAAAAAUGAGAUUGCAAGCUCAUUCCAUUUCUUACUUGGUCAUUUAAAGGAUGAGAGUGUUUUUUAAAAAUUCACAUUUGAAAAUCUUAGGUCUAAAUCAGCUUGAGGUUUUAAAAAACGGGAAGGAAAUGGAUAUAAAGCCCUGGCAAAGGGAUCACACAGUAUUCUCCAGAACAACCUUGAACACUAUAUUAGUCAUCAAACCAAUUUGUUAAUUUAUUAUAAUGACUGUACAAAUAAUAGAACUACAUUAAUGUCAGAGAACUCGAAAAAAGCUUUUAGAGGUGACAUCAUCAUUCAAUGGGAAAUAAAUAUACCAGUUUCAGGGUUAAUGAGUAAGUCAUUGCUGCCCCAGAUAGUCUCCUGUAAAGCAGACUGUUUAAAAGAUAAACUCAAGAGCUUUAUAUUGUGUUCAGGACAGCAAUUAUAUUCUAAGAAUUAGCUCACUUUGAACACAAGUUGCUAGAAUCAAUCAGUGGGAAUAAAUACCAAUUAGACGUUUAUUAGAAAGAGUUGCAUUGAUCAAGUUCAAGUAAUUCCAAAUCAAUCAACUCGUGAGUGAUAAUGCCACAUUUUCUUUUUUUUACCAGUGCUCUGUAGGCCACAUCCAAAGCCAUCAAUAAGUACAGGAAAGGUAAGACGGAGUAGUAAGCAGAGUUUGUUAUGGUUCUAAAUACAUCACAUUCAAAACAUGCUGCCUAAAAACUUGCACCAUCCAUUUAAAGCAACCAUUUUAAAAGCCAUGUUUUUACAGCAAUGUCAUUACAUUAACAUCUGUUAAAUAUAUGCAGGUCUGCCAUCUUAUGGAGCCUGAAUGGUACUACCAAAUAACAGAAUAUAGAACUACAUGUUCAUAUUAGGAGAAUAGUUUGAAUUUUUCCUUUUCAGGUAAUGUGUUCCUUCUUCUAAAACUUGCACAAUUUUGACGCAUUGUUUCUAUUCGGUAUGUAUAUUUAUUGCAUUUAUGUGUGCAUUCUAGCAAACACCUGUAAACACACAAUCAAAUAAAGACAUUACAGUUACAAGUUCAAACAUGGAAAAGCUGGGAAGUUUUAAAGUUGAAGCUGGUUUUUUACAUUAUAUGACAGCCUUGAACAACAUCAUCAUGUGCCAUUUUUUCCUUUGGGACCACUGCCUGAUGCAGCGGUCAGGUUAGAUGGAGCUGUUUAGUGAAUAGCUGUUCAGAAUUCUGUUUUAGCCUCUUUGUUUGGAGUGUAACUAUGCUGUAUUUGCUGCAAGCUAGUAAAGCCCUAUGCUAAAGACAAAAUUAGUAAUUUAUAUAUGGGCUUUUCUGUAGUUGUUAGAGUAUUAUUAUGAACAAUUUUGAAUGAAGUUUGUACAGGCCAAGGCAGACAAUCGUCACAGAAAUUUUCAGCCCAAGUGAUUAAAGUUUGGCAAAGCUGUUAAAGUUGCUAAAAUGAUGCUCUUUUGUUUGGUUGGUUUUAUUUUCUGUUUUUUUUAAAAGCUGAUGUCAGAUAAACUUGAUAAGUGACUUUUGGGCCAGCUAAGAACACACGCAUAAGAACACAAGAGUGUUAUAAUUGGUACAACAAGUAUUAUACGUUAUUUUCAUUUUAACUGAUGAAAAUUUAUUUUUAGGUGAAAAGGAUUCCUCAGGAAGACCUUAUUAUUUAGUUUUCGAAAAGUUUGAGGUGAGUUAGGAAAGUGGUAGAUCUAAGUGGUUGUGAUACUGUCAGAUAUUGUAGUGGAGCACUUAAACAAAUUGUCCAGCAUUCAGUGAACUUUUGCAGAAUGUUACCAGUUGCUGGAAAAUCUGGUAGCACCCAGCAUCUAAACUUAGGUGGAUGUCUGAUUUCACCGAGUUGUACCUGUACUAGAAAAUUAUAUUGUCUCCAUAUAGUGUCAUUUGCAAAUAUUCACAUCUACCCUGAUAAUCUUGCUGGGAAAAGACAGUGAGCACAAAUUGCCACUUAGAUUACUGUCAGCUGAAUUUGAUGAUGUGAAAUACUACUUACCACCACAAUAAAAGCCUUAGCAUAAUUGGUUUUGUGUAAGAACCAACCGAGUCUUCACCUUUUCAGUUAUUUCCCACUUAUGAGAAGGGUUUUCUCCCCCAAUACAUCUUGCUUGAUUGUAAUACCAUAUUUUCAUAUGUGUCAGAGUAAAAUAGUCUCUGACCAAAUUCUUUUAAAUAUUGCACAUGGCGUUUUAAUGUUUAAUAUCAAAUUUAUUUAUUUGAUAUAUUGGGUAUUACAUGCGAUUUUGAUUUAGAAGAGUGAUACAGCAAUGUACUGAAAUCACAAUGAAAGGAUCAAAUAGCAGUUCCAAUAUACAGAUUAAUCACAGUAAAAGCAUCAUUCUUGUUAUAGGUCUGUGUGCUCACCAUCAUGAUUCUGAGCAUGCCCAGUCACCAGGAAGGAGUAUGUGGUUGAAGCCAGCUUAAACCCGUUGCUCUUUCCAAAGUGCAUGUUGUUGGUUGCUCAGUUUCUGUACUCUGGUUUUGGCUGAGCCACUCCUCCCCUGCCAUGUUGCUCUGGCUAGCUCAGGAAGGCAUUAUUCUCUACUGGUUAUCUCAGAGAAGGCUGUUUAUACAACGUGAUGACCCGCUGGUACAGCCUUAUAUCUAAAACAAAGGUUACCCUCCAGCCCCCUUUGUGUUAAGUUCAUCUUUAGGAUAAUUGGUGCUUUUUCUUUAGAGUCCUUGAGAUAAUUGGUUUUUUGCUCAUCGCCUCUGAGCUUUGCUCCAGUGUAUGGGGUGUCUAGGUUGAUUGCAAUCCACCCCUUUGCUCAGCCUGGCAUUCAACAAUUAUUAGUGUUGCACAGUGAGCUUGAUACAACAGUGCUAUGAAUUACCAGCCCUCGUGCCUGUGCAUGCUGAGGGUGAGGGCAAUGGGAAAAUUAUUAUUUACAGCUUUGCUAUGUGAUUUAACUUGAGUUAAUCUCAUGUACUAUUUGAUUUUUUCAAGUAACAGGUCAAUAUCAAGGUUACAAAUAACAUUACAGUGGUUAUUAACAAUACAGGCAUAGAAUGUAACAUUAUUUUCAGCACAUUGGUAGUUUUUGGUGACAAACCUUCAAAGAUAUCAUACCAAUGCUGUUCAGUAAGGCUGGUUCAUUAUUAUCAUAUACCAUUUUUACUUGUCUUUCACCUAAACAUUUUUCAAUUUCAGACAGAUGUUGGGUAACCUUGGCAUUUUCUUUGAGAAAGUCAUCUUAUGGAUCAAAGGUCACCCCACAUGUUACUGAUAUCUUAAAUGGCUUGAAAUAAGACUUAUUUUGUUCAGUCAAGAAGAAGUUAACUUGUAAAUAUAAUUGGUUAUUUGAUCAAAAACAUAUGUCAUAUUACACCAGCAAAUGUUGCCAGGUCCAAAGUUUACAUAAUCUUUGAAGUGGAUAGUACUGACAGUGGAUACACACACAUCCAAAACCAUUGCCAUAUACUUAUAUCUCACUACCGUAGACAUGCUGCCAGAUGCAGAUACCAGAGGAGUGUUUCAUAAUGCAUGAUUCUGGAGCUCUGGGCAUAGUAGGGCAGGUCCAUCCUCAGCUUGAGCCAAUAGGUGUAGUGUUUACUGAUUUCAUAAAUGUCAUGUAUUACAAUGCAAACAAUCUCCUGCUGUUAUAACUAUGUGAUGUGAAAAGGCAGAACCUCUUAGAGACAAGACUCAGGCAUGUGUUCUCAUUGUCAGUAUUCCCAGGGUGAUAAGGUAACCCUCUAUUUUCCUGCAAAAGAAGACAUCUAGGUCUCAGACAUGAUCCAAGCCCCAGUUAUUGUUAAUUUAGUCCCUGUAGUGUCUGCAGAAUUCCAUGCUCCUUUUCAUAUGCAAAACUUUAUUUUUAAAAUGUGAUCUCUUAUCAGAUUGUAUUUCCCUGGGCAAGGGAGAAGUAGUAAACCAUCCAUUUAAACCAGCAGUGAUUGCUGGACCAGUCACAGCUUGGGUGGGGUUCACCUUCCCUACACCAUUGUUUCUACUCCCCUGAGGAUGUAUUUCCAGCCCUCAGGUGGUCACUUUAAAAUACUAACAUAAUCUAGCUGACAAGUUUCUCUGAGUAAUUUACCUUUCCUGAGAUUGGCAAACUGUUGUCCUUUUGACAGGUACUGUACCAUUGUUUGAAAAAAUGCCAUGCGUCUACAGUAUGUAUUGCCAGAGCUUUUGUCACAGGCCAUCCUCUGCUUUCAGUUCAUUGAAAAAAUCGUAAUUCCCAAUGUGUCCUAUCCAAUCCUGUAACCACUUACUAGCCUUUCUGCCUUGAGUUUUGCUAUAUAUUUAUUUUAGCCAAAUGAUCAGUAAUCUGAUUCCACUUUCCCGUAGGGGUUUUUAGUUUUUGGUGAGCAGAUAGAUGUCCUGUAGAUAUGCACUUGGAUUGGUCUACAUUGUAAAUCUCUCCAGUGUGUUUUUCCCCAUAGGUCUCUACCAUUUACUUGCUGAUUGUUUUUAACCCAGUUCUCUAGGCACUGUGAACCAAACUUCCUUUGUCUCGCCUUCCCAUGGCAGCGCAUAAUUUAUUGGAGAGGAGGACAGAUGGGAGUAUUUGAUAGGCAUCCCUAUUUGCUCUACACUCUCUGAUCAUUUGUUUUCUCUAUUUAUCCCAUCACUUGUCGCCUGGUAAAGUAUAUACAGAGCCCAUUGCUGCACAGCAGUUUCCUGGGCUACCAUUAAGGGUAGCAACUUACCAGUUAAAAUUGGUUUUAAAAUAGGAAUGGGCACACAUAACUUGAUUUCUCUUUCUCAAAUUAAUGGCUUGGUAAUUAGCAGCCCUUCAUAUGCAGCUAACAGCACUUUCUCAAAUGGAGUGUAGUUGGGAGCCUCACCACGAUUUAGAGCAAAAUGCCUUUUUACCAUUCACAUCUUAUUGCCAUAAUUGCUAUUGAUAUCUCUCAUAACCUAUGACUAUAUGAAGUGUACUAGGGUGUGCAGGCUUAAUGAGUCCCAUAGAUUGGUUAGUAAAAUUUAAGCAUUGAAAGCAUUUAAUGAUUCAUUAUGAUUUUUUUUCCCCAAUUCCAUAUUGUGGGUUUUUUCAGCAAAUUGCAGAGAUCCCUAUAAAAUACCGAAUCCAGGAAUGUGUGACUUCCAAAGCCCAAAAGUUCCUAAUAAAGCUUGUAACUCCUUUUUAUCAGAAGGUUCUUGAAUGCUUUGUAUCUCUGUUAAUACAGAUUCUGUAACAGUUUUCUGUCCUUCAGUAUAUACCUGAAAAUGUAGCUUCUUGACUUGGUCCUUGCUGUUUCAAGUCAGGAACACUAAUAUUUAAUUCUUCUAAAUGCUGGACGAUAGCAUUCAUACUCUGGUGAACCAUUUCCUCAUCGUGUUCUUCAAUUAGAGUAUCAUCUGUAUAUUGCAAAAUAGUUACUGCAGGUGGGAGGAUGACUGAUUCAAACUCUUUAGCUACCAUGGCAUGGGUGAUGAUGGAGCCAUGUUUAAAACCUUGGCGUAGGUAAUGAAACUAUAUUGUCUUCCACCCCAAGGAAAUGCAAACUGUUGUUUGUCUUGCUCUUGUAUUGGGAUCAUAAGGACUAUACCUUUCGUGGUUAACACUCCCACCCCCAGAAGAUCACAUUCAUAUCUACUAUGCUAGGAACAGGGGCCGUUAGAGGGCCAGUUGCUUUAUUUAAAGCGCUACAGUCAAUAGGCAUGUGCCAUCUCCUCUCCGGUUUCUUAAAAGGCCAUACUGGGAUGUUAUGUGGUGGGUGAGUUUUUUCAUGGUAAACCAUUGCUCUAAUUGUUUGACUAAUUCUGUCACGGGUUUUAUGGCAGGAGUUCUUCCAUUGUGGGCAUGUGUUGGUCAGUCGCAACAUGUGAUUAACUUCCUGGGUGUAAAUUUUAAGUUGUUUGUUAUCUAUUCUAGUAUAGAUUCCGCAACAGCAAAACAGACUAAUACAGAGCAGGGGCUCCCAGGCUUCAUCCACUGGAGAGGGGCAAGGCUUUGGUGCAACUGGUAGGAUCAAACUUCUGUCCCCAGACUGGUGUGCAGGAAGAUAUGUGCUUCCGCAUCUGCCCUGUGAUGCCACUUCUGUACCUGUGUCCAUGCAUCACAUAUUGAAGCCUCAAAUUUUAAAAUUUUAAUUUGUCUCCCUCAUUGCCACAGAAAGAAGCCAGUUCCAUUCCCUCAUCCACCUCCACUCCAUCCAUGGCACAUUCUCUACCCUGACUUGCUCCCAGAGUCUUGGAAAAGGUGGCUCUGGCUUGGCUCUUAGAGAGCGGCAAUGAUGGUGGAGACAGCAGCAAGUCAAUGCCCAUCAGCUGUUGGUGUUAACUGCUCAUGUUACAAAACUCCAGGUGUAGAGGAGUUUACUCCUGGGUUACACAUGCUGUUUCAGAGUAACUGCUCUAUGCCAGAGUGUACUGGAGACACAAGGAGACUCUGCAGUGUGAAUGGUUAGUGGCUCCUUGGAACUAUUUUUGCGGUGGCGAUUGCUCCACAGCUCAGGUGAGUAUGUAUCUGCUGCUUGUGUCAUUCCUUGCAAUUUAAAGAGUGUUAAAAAAGCAAAAAUAAUGUUGCUAAUGAAUAGAAUUAUGAUCUUGUCUGAAUCUGAGAGCACUUUAGAGCUUAAACCCUCACUCUGUUCCUGUGCUUAAAAUUAUGACAAGCUGGUCCUAAAUAGGAGUGAAAGCAGAAUGUAUAUCAAGCUUUUGUGCAGAACUGCAUUUAAAAAAAAUAAUCUGACUGCAGAGAUUAAAACAUAGUUGAGUUGGUAUGUUGAGAAAAAAAAUCUAUAAACUGGUGUAAUCAUUUAUGCAUCUCAUCCUUAAAAUGGUUGUUACUGAUAAAGCAAAAUGGCAAAAAAGUAACUGAAAUUGGCAUCCACCCUGCUUGCUUCAGCUCCCAGAUGGCAGGGAUGUCACAGGAAGCUCAGAGGUUGACACACUAUUCUGGAUCAGACUUGAGAUGCCCUGGGUCAGUACUUUCGACAGCUAUGGCAAGCUCAGGUCUUUGAACAAAGUACUUGCUGCUGGUAACAGGAGAUAGUCUGUCUCCAUAAAAUAUUGUAUUCUAAACUGUAAGAGAUUUUAUGAAAUUUGAAGCAUGACAUACAAUAAGGCUUCCAGAAUUAUUGUGAACAACUGCAGCUCUGGCUAGUUUGUUAUUCAUGUACAUUUUUAGAAUUUACUGGGUUCUUGGCAUCAGUGAGUUUCUGUAGCAAUGUGUUUCACCAUGUAGUUACUCAUUGAUUUGGCAAACAGUAAUCAAGUACAUUAUUUCUACAAAAAUUACCCAAGAUUUUAUGUACCAUUACAAAGGAGGCAAUGUUUCAGCUCUCAUGUUUCGUCUGAGAAAUCAACACACAGUAACUGUCUUCAGCUGACUGUAUCUUUUAGCUUAAGAAAUCAUAUUGGGAUUCUGAUUUUAAUUUGCAGUGUCAACAUGUCUUAAAUUGGACGCUUAAUGUUCUACUCAAACGUGAUGUUUUCUGGGUUUUCUAAUAAUUUUAAACGAGCUUUUUCUAGUUAUUUCCAGCUUUCUGAAUUCUGUGUAUUUUUUUUUUUACCUGCAAACAUAUAAAAAUAUGUAUCAUUUAGUCCAGAAUUUGUUUUACUCCUGUUUAACAAUAAAAACCUGCACAGAUGGCUGCAAAACAGAACCUUCGAACACAGCCAGAUUUGUACAUUUGUGCUGAUUUCUUGCUUAAGGGAACUCAGUUCAAAAUGCUGUACUGCCAAAUCCAUCCCUGCAGUAAUUCUCUUGGCUUCAGUGGAUGGCCACAUGGGAUUGCCUGUGAUAUUUGGCUAAGCUGAGAGAUUCUGUGUGAUUCCAAAGGGAUUUGUUUGACAAUACGAAAAAGUGAAGUCUGAAGAGCAUGCUACUGUGUUGGGCGUUGGACAGUUGAACCAUUUUGUUCAAAGUCAUGGCCAUGAGAGCCAUUAUCCAUUCAGAAACCACAAGACAAAAUUUACUUCGAUUUCAGUAACGGGCAGUAGAAAAUGUUGUACUCGCACUGGGUCACAAACAGGUGCAGACAAUAGGAGGGUCAAACAGUCCAGCUGGUUUCUGAGGAUUUAGAAAUAAUUUCAGAACUGAGGUAGUGAUCUGGAAGCUGCUGCAAUUCUGUCUGUGUGGCAUCAGAAAUGCUGGAAGGAAGAUUUUUAGAAUACAGCUGCCUACAGAGACCCUGGGAACUACAGUUAAAUAAAUUGCUCUUACUCAUCUGAAUUUCUUUGUGCUCCAUAAAUCAGGAUGUUUUACCCAUUCUUCCUAAAUAAAGGGGAUCAUAUCACAUUUCAUCAAUUUCUUUUCCUAAUGGAAACAACCUUAAAGAUGUGGAAAGCUGAUCAACUCUUUAGGCCAAAAAGAAUUGACAUUACUAGAGAAUAUACUAUCACAUAAGAAUGCAACAUAGAUAGGAACAGGCCAACAGCCUGUUUGGCUUCGCUGAUAUUGCUUAUAUGGGGCAGACAAAGCACACAAAAAUGAAGUCCCACAGCCGCAAUUUAAUGAAAUUGUGCAUCUUAUCUGAAUAUUGCAAAGAAUUGAAGUAGUUUUGAAUUUUUGAUCAUCCGUUAAAGGUAAAGUGAUAGCUAUUGCAUUAGGGUAAAAAUACUUGUGUUCAUUUGGAGGUUGAUUUGCUUUUCUAUGGCAAACUAUAUUUUUUAAAAUAAUCCAAAACAGCAAACACAUUUAUGGUGCAAUGUAAAUAAUACAGAAUAAUCAGUUGCAAAUCUACUGUCUAGCACUAAAAUGUACUUUCACACUGAGAGGUGAUUGUUUUAUUGUAGUAGGAAACUCCUGUGCUUGUAAGCUUUGUGUUAGCACUGUAACAGACAACCAAGAAACAGUUGCCUUACAACUUUAGCUGGAUCCUCUGUGUCAUCCAGCGCUGUCGGGCUGGAGCUGAGCCCAAGACAGAAUACUUCUCAACAUCCUACUCCUAAUUGUAAUGUUUCCUGUUUUCUUUUGCAAGCAAUACUUUAUAGUGUAAAUGCCUUGCUGGGGGUGUCACCUAUGACAUUUGGCCUUUUCAUUCUGCUCCUGUACUCUCCUCCAGAAACCGGCCAGGCUUCUUGCUGCUGGUGUUUCAAUGUCGUCUCCUUGGUUCCCUGUAGGAGAGUUUGUUGGGUCAGAUAUCCGAACUGGAUCCGAGCGUGUGUAUCGUAUUCACCUGACCUACAGGGCCUGUCCUGUCCCGCCGGUGGGGGAUCAUUUCAGCUGUCCCUGCACGCAGUCGGCUGCAGUUGGCCUGAAGCCCAGCGCGGUUUGAGCUGUUUCGGUGCUGUCUGCACUCUGUCUGUCGCUCCUGGUUCUGGCAACACGGAAGAAGUCAUCAGCAGGAUUCAUCCGUAUCUGACUGUUCAACAUCUACAAAAAGUCUGAAAAUGGCAGUGAACACAAAGCUGAUAAAAUCUAUAGAUGGUGCAAAAAUAUUCAGGAUAAUCAACUGGAAGGCUGACUGAGAACGGUCACUCAAAUAUUUCAG